CGGAGGUCAGGCUCCUUGGCUUUAAGAGCCUGCGAGCCCCUGGGCGCUGCGUGGCUGGCAGUUUCCCACUCCGCCAGGUUCGACUCAGCUCCCCGGUGAUAACGGCCGGCUCUGGGACCUCAAAGGAAUAAACUUACAGAGGAGUAGGGGGCUCUAAGUUGGCCUUAGUUCCCGACCAGCUAUUUCUGGAGGGCCCUGCAUCUGGAAGGUUCGUAUGCAGGUUCUCCGGUGCAUCUGCUUCUGCAGUCAGCAUCUUGGCUUUUCUGGGACCGCAGUGGAUACCCCGAGUCCUGGAGGACGCCAGCUCCUAAAAGGAGUAAGGUGCAGUGUGAAAUUGCCAAGGAGUCCCUUAAGGAAGUCACAGGGUGGCGAAGGAGAAGUCACAUGUUCCCAGCAGCCCACGAAAGGCGCUCCCAGACACUGCUGAAUGAGAAGACUCACUAGCAAGCUUUACAAGACCUUGGCUACUCCUUCAAGCUUUGUGUCCUUCUGGAAUUGUACCCUGGAUGCUCCAGCCACUUGGAACUACCAUGCUUCCCAACAAACCAGCAGCCAUUCUGAACCAGAAGGUGGAGGACAGAAUGAAAAUAAACUCAGAUCCCUGAGGACUGUAGGCUAACAUGUACAGAAGACAGAGGUAUGGAAGCCACCAGCCUGUGAGUUUCCCCCUAUCUCCCCCCAUCUCCUGCCUGGACAGGUAUUAGGAGCCCAGCUGCCUGUGUUCUUGAAGCUGGUCAGGGAGAGUGUUGGGCUGGAGGGACUGCCAUCAAGGAUAAAGAAUUGCAUCUCUUCCUCCUGGGUUCACUCUAGCACCUCCUCGGGUCUCGGUCUGCUGGUCCACCUUCCAGAGAAUAAGCUUCAGUCUUCUGAUGGAUCAAGGAAGAGGUGGCUGAUUGGGGGUUCAACUGCUCUGUGUGUGUGUUCCAAUAAAAAUUUAUUUACAAAAACAA